UGACAGCAGCUACUAAAAAUGUAAAGGUUC
rnacentral:piRNA from 1 species